GUGAGAUUCAGAGCCGAAAAUCAGGUCUCCACAUAAAUAUCACUUCCAAGAGAAGCCAUCUCCAACCAACCUAUCAAAGAUUUUCUUUUCCCAGGAUGCU